rnacentral:rRNA from 1 species
UACGUAGGGUGCAAGCGUUACUCGGAAUUACUGGGCGUAAAGCGUGCGCAGGCGGUUAUGUAAGACAGGUGUGAAAUCCCCGGGCUUAACCUGGGAACUGCACUUGUGACUGCAUAGCUAGAGUACGGUAGAGGGGGAUGGAAUUCCGCGUGUAGCAGUGAAAUGCGUAGAUAUGCGGAGGAACACCGAUGGCGAAGGCAAUCCCCUGGACCUGUACUGACGCUCAUGCACGAAAGCGUGGGGAGCAAACAGG